rnacentral:rRNA from 1 species
CCUACGGGAGGCAGCAGUGAGGAAUAUUGGACAAUGGGCGGGAGCCUGAUCCAGCCAUGCCGCGUGCAGGAUGACGGCCCUAUGGGUUGUAAACUGCUUUUAUACGGGAAGAAACGCACCUACGUGUAGGUGUCUGACGGUACCGUAAGAAUAAGGACCGGCUAACUCCGUGCCAGCAGCCGCGGUAA